ensembl:snoRNA
CACAGCCGUGUCAAAUUCGGUGCCUACCCAUCCGUGGCAGGCGCCGGCCUGAAAUAGAUGACAAGGAUUAUUUCUUAUUUAGAGAUGGUGACAUCU